UUAGAAAAGUAGGAGUCGAACCUACGCAAAGAGACCAAAGCCCUUCAUACUUCCUCUAUAUUAUUUCCU
rnacentral:tRNA from 1 species